rnacentral:rRNA from 1 species
AUUGAACGCUGGCGGCAUGCUUUACACAUGCAAGUCGAACGGUAACAGGGUGCUUGCACCGCUGACGAGUGGCGAACGGGUGAGUAAUGCGUCGGAACGCACCGAGUAAUGGGGGAUAACGCAGCGAAAGCUGUGCUAAUACCGCAUACGCUCUGAGGAGGAAAGCGGGGGACCUUCGGGCCUCGCGUUAUUCGAGCGGCCGACGUCUGAUUAGCUAGUAGGUGAGGUAAGAGCUCACCUAGGCGACGAUCAGUAGCGGGUCUGAGAGGAUGAUCCGCCACACUGGGACUGAGACACGGCCCGGACUCCUACGGGAGGCAGCAGUGGGGAAUUUUGGACAAUGGGCGCAAGCCUGAUCCAGCCAUGCCGCGUGUCUGAAGAAGGCCUUCGGGUUGUAAAGGACUUUUGUCAGGGAGGAAAUCCUUAGCGCUAAUACCGUUGAGGGAUGACAGUACCUGAAGAAUAAGCACCGGCUAACUACGUGCCAGCAGCCGCAGUAAAAC